rfam:Ictidomys tridecemlineatus contig118972, whole genome shotgun sequence.
UGGACUGUGGCUCAGUGGUAGAGCACUUGCCUAGCAUGUGUGAGGCCCUGGGUUCAAUCCUCAGCACCACAU